GAUGAAGAACGUAGCGAAAUGCGACACGUAGUGUGAAUUGCAGAAUUCAGUGAAUCAUCGAAUCUUUGAACGCACAUUGCACCUCUCGGUAUUCCGGGAGGUAUGCCUGUUCGAGCGUCAUUUGUACCCUCAAGCUCUGCUUGGUGUUGGGUGUUUGUUCCGCCUCUGUGUGUGAACUCGCCUCAAAACAAUUGGCAGCCGGCGUACUUGUUUCGGAGCGCAGCACAUUUUGCGAUCCAGAUCAACGUACAGCGGCAUCCAAGAAGCCUUAUUUAACGCUCUUGACCUCGGAUCAGGUAGGGAUACCCGCUGAACUUAAGCAUAUCAAUAAGCGGGGGA
rnacentral:misc_RNA from 1 species